UACGGGGGGGGCAAGCGUUGUUCGGAAUUACUGGGCGUAAAGGGCGCGUAGGCGGUUGGAUAAGUCAGCUGCGAAAACCACGGGCUUAACUCGUGGCCUGCAGUUGAGACUGUCUGGCUUGAGUGUGGGAGAGGAGAGUGGAAUUCCUGGUGUAGCGGUGAAAUGCGUAGAUAUCAGGAGGAACACCGGUGGCGAAGGCGGCUCUCUGGACCACAACUGACGCUGAGGCGCGAAAGCUAGGGGAGCAAACAGG
rnacentral:rRNA from 1 species